GUUUAUUUAAGGAUAUAAUUAACGAAAUGGCGCAAAAAAUUGAAUUUCUGACCGAUACAAAUUGAGAGAAAUUUUAUUGAGGUAUCGGAUGUCAGCAUAAUUUCAAAGAAUCGUUCAUCAUGCGUGUAAAGUUGAUACUUAUAUGUUUUCACAACAUAUUUCAAGUUCUUUAUUCAGCACGUUUGAUCAAGUAUUAUUCAAUAUCUGAUGGCUAGUUACAACAAAUCCUCUCUGAUCGAUUUGUUGAUUUGGUGACGAGUAAACAGAAAGGUUAAGGAGAUCAUGUUUACUGUUGAGUAUUUAAAUAUUUGCGUCACAAACGUGUUAUUUAAAGAUUAGAAUACUAAUGUUUUAUUUGCAUGAACACCUUUUAACCGCAACACCUAUACUAUAGGUGUUGCGUAUACUAAUGAUGUAAUGUUACUGCUAUCUAAAAUCGAGGCGAACCAUGACAAAAUAUAAAAUUUAAAGAUAAAAUAUUUUAGCUUUUUUUGUUUUUUAUUUGCUACAAAAACGUUUUUUGCUUCGGAAAAUGAUGCUUUUUUAUGUUUGUUUGUUUGUUUAUUGUUAUUAAUCUUAAUAAUUUUUUUUUCUUUACUUAAAAAAAAUAAUAAUAAAAAAAAAUAUGGAUGGAAGUCUUGCAGUUGCAGAAAAAGAGGUUUAUAUUGUUCAACUGAAACUCGUCCUAAACAGCUGGAAAGUGGUGGUAGGAGUCAAUACUGCUGUGUACCAAUGUGUGAAAAUGUUAGGUAUGACAAACAUAAAAAUAAGACAAACAUCGGUGUAUUUACUCUCCUUAAAAGCAACCCUCAUUUGUUAAAAAACUGUAUUCGUGUAUUUAAUAACAUUCGACGACAAGGAGGAUAAGACAAUUUUAAUGUUGAAAAGAAGAAUUUACAAAAAUAAACUCCAAUAUUAAUGAUGAGAUUAAAAUAAAAAAUAAAAACGAGUUUAAUUAUGAAAAUAUUUUCACUGAACCAAAAUUGUAUAAAUCUUUGACUGGACAGGUUCAAUCAGUGGCGUAGAAAGGUUUUUAAAUGUUUGAAAUAACCAACUUGUAAACAACAAGA